CCUACGGGAGGCAGCAGUAGGGAAUUUUGCGCAAUGGAGGAAACUCUGACGCAGCAACGCCAUGUGUGGGAUGAAGCAUUUCGGUGUGUAAACCACUGUCAGCGGGGAAUAAAUGGUCUCUUCGGAGGCAGUUGAAUGUACCCGCAAAGGAAGCCCCGGCUAACUUCGUGCCAGCAGCCGCGGUAAUACGAGGGGGGCAAAUGUUGUUCGGAAUCACUGGGCGUAAAGGGAGCGUAGGCGGGCUUUUAAGUUAGGUGUUUAAUCCCGGGGCCCAACCCCGGACAGGCACCUAAAACUGGGAGUCUUGAAUAGUGGAGAGGACGGCGGAAUUGGGGGUGUAGCGGUGGAAUGCGUAGAGAUCCCCAAGAACACCAGUUGCGAAGGCGGCCGUCUGGACACAUAUUGACGCUGAGGCUCGAAAGCAUGGGGAGCAAACAGGAUUAGAUACCCGGGUAGUC
rnacentral:rRNA from 1 species